rnacentral:pre_miRNA from 14 species
UGAGGGUACGUGUCUUCAAUUCCGUAGUGCAUUGCAGUGUUUGUAGCAGCAGUCUGCAAGCAGUGCGGAAGUGAGGAUUCGGCUCUUGUCCCUU